rnacentral:lncRNA from 1 species
CCUCUAACCACUUCUAACAGCCCACCCACCAUCUCUAAUGGUCAUUUCCACCUGUACCUGCAGCUCCUCUCAAGUCAAGUGAGGAAGUUGCCAGAUGCGUCCCAACACCUUCCCUCCCUGCCAGGGCCAGGAGCUUCUGAGGUGCCUCUGGGAGGCUUGGAAACACCCAGGUUUCCAGGCAGGGCAGCCCCGAGGCUGAGGGCAGAGAGCACCGUGGAUGUGAAGAAAGAGCCCCAUCCUUUGGGGAAGGCCGGAGAGCAGCAGGGACGGCUCCCAGCCACACCCCAACUGGGGCUGCCUUAGCCAUCAGCUCCAGGACCACAGGACGCACCCCCUCCUCUGCACCUACAGCCUCUGCAGGGCCUCUUUAGCACCCCAGAGGCAGGAUGAGGACACAAGGUGGAAGGACAGAGGGAAGCCAACCACCUGUGGCUCUGCCGGAAGCCGGGGAGCACCAGGCUGGGUCUCACUCACCUGCUGUUACUGCUGUUGUUGAAAAUGAAGUGCUGAUGGGCGUCAAGAGCUGGAGAGCCAGCAGCAGGACCCAGGUCACCAGCAUCUCCCGGGCUGUGCGCCCCUGGCUCCAGGAUCUUCCCUCUCAGGAGAGGGGCCAAGAAAUGAGAGCCUCCCAAGGAGGGAGCAGCUAUAAAAAGGACCCUGGAGACCUUUGCCUUGGGGAAGGACAGCGCCUGACCCAGGGUGGGGGCAAGGUGAUGACACGGGGUGGGUGACACACAGUGACUACAGGGAGUUGGCUAAAGGGCAGCCUCUCAACCUUCCUCCCCUCUAACUCCUGACGCACUGACUCCCCUGAGUCAGGGUCACUCCAGCCAGAGGAAGACAGUGUUACAGGGUGGGACAAGUCAAGAGGGAGGGACAGGAGGAAGGCAGGGGUGUGAGCCUGAGACAAUGACAGAGGGGCGGGACCAAGAAAUGCCAGGGAGGGGUGACUGAGGAGGGAGGGGUGUCCCAGGAGGGACACCCCGCAGGACAGGUGAAGGAGAAUCUUGCCCAAGGAGCACCCCCUUGCUCUAGGCCUUCUCUCCCCACCACCCACCUCCAGCUGCCCCUUCAGAAUUCCCAGUGCUUUCCCAUCAGGUGGGGUGCCCAUUCACACCUGAGGCUUUAUGGCCUGACUCCACCCCUGGCCAGAAUCAGAGGUGACGAAAGGCCAUGGGCCAGCUUCUGCCUAGGGCAAAGGUCCAUGGGGGCCUCUCCCAAACCCCCACCCAAAGGAUUACGGGGAUAGAUUAUUUCUGACCAUCUCAGCUCCAGCCAAGCAGGACCAAGAGCCCAUAAUGGUGGCAACAGGAGGGUCUGAGCCAGCACAGACAGGCCCUGGUGGGAGGACAUGUUUGCAAGAAGGGAUCUGGGAUGCUCAAGGUCUUUGGGGGCCCAACUUUAUAUUUCUGCAGAAAAGGCAGCAAGCCCAAACUGGACACCUCCCUGCCCCAGUCCUAGGGUCUAACUCCUUCCAAACCCCAGCCCUAAGCUUUGAGGUCACAGGUGACAAAAUCCAAGAGACCCUCACCUGCUGCUAAUGGAGAGACUCCCUGCCACCCAACCAAUAGCUAACAAAAUGGGUCCCCCCACCAAGCUUGAGGUAGUCAUGGCCCUGAGGGCUGCCCACAGAUCUUCCUUUCACCCUGGGAGACAGGGAUGGAUGCUUCCCUGACCCUCCUACACCUCAUUAGGAAGUCCCUGUUCUCCAACCAGGUAGACACUGCUGGGGACAAGAUGAGGCUGCAGGGGAGAAAGACACCGAAUACCGAACAGUUUCUUUGAUAAUAAAUGCUAUAUUGUGUUCA